ACCUCGAAUGGUGUCAGCUUUGUGAAUGUCAAAUGCCGCUGGAGAGACAGCUGAAACAUCUAAGCCUAUGGCUUUGAUCUCGCUCUUGCAUAGUGCGCACUGGGCACAACCCUUUAGAUGAGCCAUUCACAAGACCCAUUUAAAAAGGAGCAGCUUUAAUUCUAGAUGGAUCUGCAAGCGAAUAUAAAAAACCAAGAAGAAUUUCACCAAUCUGUUUAACCAUGAGAAGGACUUUGUAAUAAAUGCCAAAUGGAAGGUUUUUGCAACGUCCCAUGGCAAAAAUACAUGUGGCGAGGUUGGAGGAACAACUAAGCAGGAAACAACAAAAGAGAGUUGGCAGAGGACAACAGAGGGUCAAAUCCUAACCCCUGAAGAUAUGCUCCUCUUUUGCUAUGAGAAGACUAAGGGGGUUACAUACAUAUAUAUCAAAAGCAAGGAAGUAAAAUUAAUUUAAUUAACUAAACUCAAGGACAGGUUUGAUAAGUGUGAGAGAAGAUUCUGCACGUAUAGUGUGGCUGCUGUGGUUAAUCCUACUAAAAUAAAAAUAAAAAAAAUGGUGGUUUUGCAAUACCAACACAAAGAGGUAAUUACUCAAAAAAAUAUGAAAAUUAAAAAUGGUCAAGCAACUUAAGUUAGACCACUUUAUAAUUGACACGUUAAUACGCACCCAUUUUUUUUUUAGGAAAUGGGGUAAGUUAAUACAGUCCCUUCCCCCAGAAAAUAAGACUCAAUUACAGGUUCUAUUUAUUUGAAACCAGCCUGCUCCAGAGGGGACUGCUCUUAUGUAUUGAAUAUAGUCUAGAUCUGAUUAAAUGGUAUUCUGACCCUUUUUCUUUUCUCCUCCUCUCUGUCUGAAACUAGAAUUUGUACUUGAUUUUUUUUUUGUAAUGAUGUCUAAUUACUUUAAUGUAAUUUGUGUAAGUUAUGAUUUCAAGAAAAAAAAAACAUGUUAGCACAGCAAUUGGCUCGUAUAUUUAGGAGCACUUUUAUAUCUAUCCCUAAUUGGAUAUAGGCAAGGGUAUAAAAUAAAAUAAAAUAAUUUAGGAGGCAAUGUCCUAAGACUGCAAA